rnacentral:rRNA from 1 species
GAGAAUGCUGGCAUGAGUAGCGAGAGACGAGAGAGUAACUCGUCCGCCGUGAACCCGAGGUUUCCUGGGCAAGGCUAAUCCUCCCAGGGUCAGUCGGGGGCUAAGGCGAGGCCGGUAGGCGUAGCCGACGCGCAGCAGGCAGACAUUCCUGCACCGCGCACGCGGCGCUACGACCGACGGGGCGACGGAUGGGGGUGGCUCGGCGGGGUUCUGGACGUCCCCGUGAUGGAGCGCGGCCCGCGGACCAGGGAAAUCCGGUCCGCAGAAGGGCGAGGCUCCGGACGAAGCGACUGAGCGAAGCGAGUGAGCCCGAGGUCCCUAGAAAAACCCCUAGGCAGGCGCGUGCGCGCCCGUACCGCAAACCGACACAGGUGGGUGGGUAGAACAUACCGAGGCGAUCGGGUCAACCAUGGUCAAGGAACUCGGCACAAUGGCCCCGUAACUUCGGGAGAAGGGGUGCCCGCGCGUACGUGAACCGGCUUGCCCGGGGAGCGGAGGCGGGCCGCAGUGGAGAGGCCCAAGCGACUGUUUACCAAAAACACAGGACUCUGCAGAAGCCGCAAGGCGACGUAUAGGGUCUGACGCCUGCCCGGUGCCGGAAGGUCACGCGGAGGAGUUAGCCGAUUCGGCGAAGCCCCGAAGCCAAGCCCCGGUAAACGGCGGCCGUAACUAUAACGGUCCUAAGGUAGCGAAAUUCCUUGUCGGGUAAGUUCCGACCUGCACGAAAGGCGCAACGACUUGGGCGCUGUCUCGACCAUGGACCCGGUGAAAUUGCACUGGUCGUGAAGAUGCGACUUACCCGCGGAAGGACGGAAAGACCCCGUGAACCUUCACUGCAGCUUGGCAUUGGCCGCUGGUCCCGCGUGUAGAGGAUAGGCAGGAGGCAUCGAUCCGGAGGCGCCAGCCCCCGGGGAGCCGCCCUUGGAAUACUGCCCUCGCGCGACCGGCGUCCUAACCCGAGGCCGUCAACCGGCUCGGGGACCGUGCCAGGCGGGCAGUUUGACUGGGGCGGUCGCCUCCUAAAGGGUAACGGAGGCGCGCGAAGGUCCGCUCGGGACGGUCGGCAACCGUCCUUUUGAAUGCAAGAGUACAAGCGGGCUUGACUGCGAGGCCCACAAGCCGAGCAGGUGCGAAAGCAGGCUCUAGUGAUCCGGCGGCCCCGAGUGGGUGGGCCGUCGCUCAACGGAUAAAAGGUACUCCGGGGAUAACAGGCUGAUCUUGCCCA